GCCACGGUGGUCUAGCGGUUAGAACGCUGGCCUUGUAAUCCUGGGGUCUCGGGUUCGAUUCCCGACUGUGCCC
rfam:Zootermopsis nevadensis contig16848, whole genome shotgun sequence.